AGAGUUUGAUCAUGGCUCAGGAUGAAUGCUGGCGGCGUGUCUAAGGCAUGCAAGUCGAAUGCUCUGCUUCGGUAGAGCAUGGCAAACGGGAGAGUAACACUUUGGUAAUCUACCCUGAAGACGAGAAUAACCCCGAGAAAUCGGGAAUAAUACUCGAUAGUAGUGGGGGGACAUAAGUCAUUCCCACUUAAAGUUCCGGCGCUUCAGGAGGAGCCUAAGGCCUAUCAGUUUGUUGGUGGGGUAAAAGCCUACCAAGACUACGACGGGUAGCGGGUGUGAGAGCAUGGCCCGCCUCACUGGGACUGAGACACUGCCCAGACUCCUACGGGAGGCUGCAGUCAAGAAUCUUCCUCAAUGGCCGAAAGGCUGAAGGAGCGACGCCGCGUGUAUGAAGAAGCCCUUCGGGGUGUAAAAUACUUUUAUUAGGGACGAAACAAUGACGGUACCUAAUGAAUAAGGGGCUGCUAACCUCGUGCCAGCAGCAGCGGUAAUACGAGGGCCCCAAGCAUUAUCCGGAUUCAUUGGGCGUAAAGGGUACGUAGGCGGUUUAUUACAUCUUCCGUUAAAUCUCAGGGCUUAACCCUGAAACUGCGGAAGAGAUGGAUAGACUAGAGGCUGGGAGAGGUACGUGGAAUUGCUGGUGUAGGGGUUAAAUCCGUUAAUAUCAGCAGGAACACCAAAUGCGAAGGCAGCGUACUAGAACAGUCCUGACGCUAAUGUACGAAAGCGUGGGUAGCGAAUAGGAUUAGAUA
rnacentral:rRNA from 1 species